rnacentral:lncRNA from 1 species
UGAAGGUUAGUCGAGAACAUAUUUAUGGCUUCGAGCCAUUUGACUUCAACCUCUCUUUUUACUGCACUCAAGAAUUUGCCAACUGGUGGAGGCAAUACUUUUAUAGUAAGCACCUGGGAGAUUCAGCACUCAUCUCCAGGCUGGAGAGUGGUUUCACUCAGCCUCAGAUCAAUAAAAUCGAACGACAAAUCAAAACUGCAGGUAACUUGUCUUUCGAUGUGUACUUUUCUCUUUGCCAUAUACUCCUGUGUUUUUCGAUCUAAACAUUUGUUUAUAUUUCUUAGUUACAAAGAAACAAGCCA